rnacentral:misc_RNA from 1 species
GGCCAAUGCAACACGCUUGUUGCGUCAGCAGGAAUAAGGAGGCGGAACGUGCGUGAAUAUUACAAUGCCCACAAACUAUUCAAGCACGUUCCAGUACCGAAACCAAAAACUCCACCCCUGCCAAAGUUAGUCAGGGUAGAACCUGCGGAAGACCCUCCUAUGGCGAAGGACAAGAAAAGCGGUAAGAAGAAAGAAAAA